GGUCACGUUACAUUUUAACAUAGGACCCCUUAUUUGAUAGCAGCUUAACAAGUCUUGCAUCCAUUGAACUUGUGAGUUUUUGGACAGUUUCUGCUUGAAUUUGUUUGCAAGAUGUCAGAAUAGCCUCCCAGAGCUGCUGUUUGGAUGUAAACUGCCUCCCACUCUCAUAGAUCUUUUGCUUGAGGAUGCUCCAAAGGUUCUCAAUAGGAUUGAGGUCAGG